rnacentral:rRNA from 1 species
UGCAGAGAUGCGGUAGUGCCCGAAAGGGAAUCGGAACACAGGUGCUGCAUGGCUGUCGUCAGCUCGUGUCGUGAGAUGUUGGGUUAAGUCCCGCAACGAGCGCAACCCUUAUCAUUAGUUGCUACGCAAGGGCACUCUAAUGAGACUGCCGGUGACAAACCGGAGGAAGGUGGGGAUGACGUCAAGUCCUCAUGGCCCUUAUGGGUAGGGCUUCGCACGUCAUACAAUGGUCGGUACAGAGGGUUGCCAAGCCGCGAGGUGGAGCCAAUCCCAGAAAGCCGAUCGUAGUCCGGAUUGUUCUCUGCAACUCGAGAGCAUGAAGUCGGAAUCGCUAGUAAUCGCGGAUCAGCAUGUCGCGGUGAAUACGUUCCCGGGUCUU